UACCCCCACCUUUGCCAACUGAAUUUGUGUCUUUAUUGGUCAUUCAAGUGGAACAAAGGAAAUACCUUUUAAAAACUCAGGGAAGGGAGUUGGGCAGUAGUGCAGUGGGUUAAGUA
rnacentral:snoRNA from 1 species